CAGUUUUCCACACUCAGCGUUGUGAAAGUUAUUCAUACACCACGGGGUUAAUGCUAGCCAUAUUUGCAAUGGGAAUAUAGCAACAAAGCAAAUGUAAGCAUCAAGACAAGUGAUUUGGUACAGCUUUGGAAGACCCCGCAGCCCAGAUUAGAGUCGCUUACUGUCGUCUGACUCACCGGUGAAGAUGAUCGCUCAGCUGAACGUCCGCUGUGACCCAUAAACACAAGUACACACUGUUCAUCCGCAUUAAAAAAAAAGAGAGAUUUUUAUAGAGGCAUACUGAAUGCGCCAAAAAAUAUGAAAAACACACAAGCCGUCCAAGAACACACACAGAAAUACAUGUUUUGAGUCCCUGUACCCUGAGCUGGGACACCAAAGCAGACCAAAGUGUGGAGAAUAUUUUUCAAUGAACUACUAUUCGGUGACUACUAUAACUAAAAAUGACACAGCUCAACCAUGACUCCACAGAAGCACCCACAACCCUCGCAGGAUUUCUGCAGGCCACAGCGAAGUUAGCUUUUUCCUCUUUUUUUUUUUUGCAACAUGUAAUCUCCAACUGUACGAAAAACAGAAAUGGGAAUUCACACCACCUCGGCCACAGUUAUCUUUCAAAAAUGGACUGAUAUGUUGAAAUAUAGACAUAUGCAAACAUGUACAAAUGUUGGAUUACAUUUCCCAGAACCAUAAAGUACACAGUAUGGCCUUGGGGUGGAGAAGAGGCAUCGUUUUCCAAAUACCACAAUCUUCACUGUCAGCAGGAAAAGCUCGAGAACGUUACGCACCAGAGUGCUCUCAAUAAAUUGGCAUGAGUUGAGAAGCUGUGAGAGGGCAUCGGUUUCAUAUCUUUCCUCUGUUCUGUUCAUAUUUUAGACAGACUGAAAGAACUGCUACCAGCCUGAACUUAAGAGCGGACACAUCUCUGUUUCAAUUCUGUGUUAUCUCAGUCAUUACAGUAUUUGGUUUGCGUGCAGCAACGCUCAUUGCUGUGCCUGUGAGGCAAAGCAAGAGAGGAGUGUGCACGGCAGGCAUAGUGGGUUAGACCACAAAAUAAAGAUGAAACUCAUCGCUUAAAAGAGCACGUUAACAAUAUUCAUCUCGCAGUUCACCACCUCACAGAGGCCUUUUUUUUUUCCUUGCUUGACGCGAACAGGUCAUCAUUUUAUAAGAAGAGCAGGAAAAAAAGAGGAGGAGAAGAAGAAGAUAGAGCUCCAUCAUCAUCAACACAAGUUUACACAUACCCGUAUGUAAUCUUUGAUAGCUAUCAAUCAAAAGUUAAGGCCCUCAUUAAAACCUUUUGGCUCUUGUGCAAAGCUGUAAAUCCCCUUACGAAGACAACAUAGAAACUGAGGUCCGCAAACAAAACAUUAUCCCAUCCGAAGAUAAACGGUGUGUCGCAGGCGGUCACGUGUCUUACUGGCACAGUCAUUUCGCUAAGCUUGAGUGUAUGCGUUGCCUAGAGACGCGUAUGUGUGUGUGGAAUGUGUGACGUCUGAUCUCGCACAGGGGAGUGGCUCUCUGUACAGGACUUUGCUACUCUCACGCACACACACCCACAGGCUUCAGGGGAAGUUGUAAAGCUUCUAAUAGCCCCUCUCAGAAGCUCGUGUUACUGCCCCAAUGUUGCCUGGAGGGGUGGUUGGGUGGGGUGGGGGUCCUACGCUUGACAGGUGGAGAUGAAAAUCAAACAUUUCCAAAAACCCAAAAGUUGCAAAGACAAUGAUUUUAAAAUGAUUGUAAGCCAACAUGAGUGAUUUAAGUCGUUUUUCAAUGCCUUAUUGAUUAUCUGACGUGUCGUAAUUGCUGAUCCAAAGAUCUCUCUCAGUUUGAUCUUUAUGUACCAAAUGGAGCGUGUAGGGGAGGGAAAAAUAUCAGCCAUAUUUUGCCCGUGCUAAGAUUGCUGUGAUCCUCCAUAAAAUCUGUUUAAAGCCUCGGGGUUUAUAGUUUUAUGACCUCAACAGACACUUUUUCAGCGUUGACGUCUCUGAUCUGAAAUCCACAACAUGUACGGCUUUGAUCUGACAUUUAAACACUCAGUUUAAAGACUUUUUAACAAGUGUGUCUAACCUCAUUAAUGUCACUUUUAACUUUCUUAUAUUUCUUUAUAUUUCAUUUCUCUUUUUUUUGGUUAAUAUGGUUAAUUUCUGCUUAUAUGAGGAUGGCUAUAGACAUGCACUCUUUUUUCCUAAAUUGACAUAAAAGGGCAAAAGUUGCAAACUCGCCUCAGUGUACAUUUAGCUUCUUCCUGUCUGCUACUGACUCAAACAGCCCUUGCUCAUUUAUUAGCAGCUGUGCAGCCAAUUAUCUCCCUGCCCCCUUUCCUGUGUUCUACCAGCAGCUUCGGCCAUGCACAGGGGAGGAGAGGUAGGGAGGCAAAGGGGGGAGGAGAGGAGAGGAGAGAGAGAGAAGGGGAGUGUUCCUCUCCUCUGACAUCGUCAUAAAGGAAUCCCCUCUGCUAGGCUGGGCCCGCCUACUUGCUUACUCUCACCCCGUCUGGCUCCCAGACACACUCGCGUUCACACACACACUCCUGUCUGCACGGCCGAAGGAGGAACGGACUGACAAGGAAAAAAGGACAAAGAGUGGGAGACGCGGAGAAGCUGCGAGAGAUGGGAGAUGGGAUGGGGACUGUGAAGGUCAACUUUUAGAGUGUGACAUUGAAGACCGUGAAGAACAAGAGGGAGAGGAAAAGGAGUAAAAUCUGUUGUCUCAGAGGGGCAAUUCAGCAGUUCCUGCAACCUGUUGAUCAGGACGGGACGUUCACACAGAGUCGGAGUAAAAGUCUGCCUGCUGUUCAAAUGUACUGUGUUGUUGGCACUGGAAUAUUGCCCCGUUAUGAGGUCUGCCACUGUGGACCGGCUCCAUUACAAAGGUCAGAUGAAUACAGUGCCAUUGAAUGGGAUGGUUUCAUUCCUUGCUGCCUAUCUUGCUUGUUAAUUUAAAGGUUAUGUACCACCCCCCGUCUGAGUGAUUUCAGGCAUAAUUGUUUCGCCUCCACCUGUUUCCAUACAGCUUUCUGCUUAUACAGUAUGUUUGUCAUCUGUCUGCCCAUGUGUGUCAUCUGCCUGUCGUCAUGUCUGUCGGUCUGUGUGCCUCUCCUUGGGGUGUUGCUGGCAGCGCGGAGCACUAAGUGAGGUCAUAAAAAGUUAUAGAAAAGCAGCCUGAGAGGCGUAAUGGCAGUGUUGAAGUAAGGCCGGAGCCGCUCAAACAUUCCUCUCAUUGUUCAGGGGCCCUGUAAGUCUGCGAGCUCCCAAACCUCCAUGAAAGGAAGGGAAUCCAGUGGCUACUGUAGCUAACCCACUUUGAGCUGCAUUUCAGGGCUGGCUGUCUCUGUCUUCCUGUUUGCCGUCCUGACUGGUGUGUGUGUGUGUGUGUGAGUGUGUCGGGGGGGUCGGGGGUGUUGGUAUAGACCAAACUCAGUAGCGGAAGGCAAAAAUGGAUUUGAAGGAGGUAAACGUGAGGUUGACCUAUAGAAGAAGGAUAAGAUAAGGAGGUAUUAAUUUAGCCUCGACAGUGGCGUCUAUCUCUUUGCUCCGUAUGCGUCUGGUUGUGACUUCAGAUAACCUCCAUGCCAAAUGACAUGGGAAAGAGAAGGCACGGGUCAAAUGUGUUGUUAUUUUGCCUUCUGCUUUGAGAAGGUGGUAAAAUGGGGUGAUGGAUGGAUGGUGAGAAAGGAUGAGAGGAGGAGCAGGAGAAUGUGGGGAUCUAACCCUCAAGCCUGGGCUUUGGUGGGGUGGUUUGAGUGGGUGGGUGUGCCCGGCAGCAAUCUGUAGGAAUGGGCCCAGGCUCAGGAAACCGUGGCGUAGUGGAAUAAAAGUGUGUGUGUGUGUGUGUGUGUGUGCAGCUUCAGCAUCCACUUGUGCAUGUGUGGUUCAGUGGCAGCAGGGCAGCUGUACUCUAAGUACAGGGCUGGUGGUGGUGGUAAGGGUGUUUGGCAAUGAAUCAGGCUGAGGAUAGGAUUACACGCACUGGGCUACAGGGAGUAGACCACGGGCUUGGGCUGGGCUCUUCACUGCUGAGGCUAGCUUUACAGCCCAAAGAGACUUUGAGCUUUUCUCUUUAAAAAAAAAAAAGGAGCUGGAAAUACUUCUUUUUUAAUUCUCAGACUAAUGUCCCACAUGUGGCGCGUUCCAUUGAUUCCAGGCCAGCCAAUGAACGGUCGCCUUUAAUUUGGGAAAACUGCAACAUAGAAGGCCCAUAGUAGAGGCCCGGGCUCUUGUUUGAAUGUCACUAAAUGUCACAGCCUCAGCAAUGAUUACACCCUCGCACGUAACAUGAAACAAAUACAAUCACAUGCGCACACAUACCCAGACAGACCCUGUCUGGUAGCAAGCAAGUUAAGGUGUGGUGCUGCGUUGUGUUUUAGUUGGCGGGCUUUGCAAUUUCAACUGCAGUUUUGUUGAUCCUGUGGGUGAUUUUCUGGCGGAUAAAAAAAAUGCAGACUUGAUUCUGGAGAUGUUUUUUUUUCUUUUGAUGUGUCAGCUGCUCGCUCCUCGUCAUUUAACCAUUUUUAGGCUUUUCCGCCUUUUCUUCCCAGGAGUGAGUUUAAUAGGCGCAACAGACAAGAUAGCAAUUAUGGAAAGCAGACGUGGCAAAUCUACACCGUAAGAAGGGAAUUAACAUGUAACUGUAACCCUUGUGACUUCAUGUCUUGAACUUAUAGCAUUUACAGAGAAAGAUGAAGCUGUGGCUGGAAACAGCUUCAUCUGCCCCCUGUGAAAAUCAGUGGAAACAUAAAUGACUUGUGCUCGGCUUUGAGACACAAUUCUUAAUGACAUGCACGAGCCUGGGAAUCGUACUGCUCACUGUUUGCUCUGUUAAGCGGUCCACAGCCUGGAGGUGUGAAUGAUGUCAGCUUGGUAUUUUUACUAUUCGCAGUUUAUGAGAAAGAGUGAAAACCAGCUUACGCGAACCCCACGUUUGCCACUGACAUCACUGUAUUUGCUCAGUGAUAGUGAACAUAUUGUGUGUGUGUGUGUGGACAGAUAGGUAGAUUAGGCUUGGCCUGCGGAGCGUGUGUGCAUUUCUUCUGUGCAAUGCGCACACAAGGACACGGGCAGAGAGAAGAUAUGUGUUGAAACAACAAGGGUUUGAGAUCCAGCUGUCCCAACAGAGGCUUUUCCACUUAACUGUGUGCCCUUGUGUAAACGGCAAUGUCAAUUCUGAACUCGAGCCAACGAUCUGAGAAAACAGCCAGUGGCCACGUCUGCACUUGGACCGCCAUACGUCAUGUGCAUGAACAAUAUACACACAUAUGCACCACGAAACCAUCAAAGAACCCACACACGAGGCCAUAAUCCACGAAGACAUGCUCUCUAAAAACACUUUAACUUCACUAGAGUACAUCUGCUGGCAGGCGUCACUCGGUGAUGUUCAUUUUCCAGCCCUACACCUCCGUCGGGGUGCAACAAGUUGCCACGGUUGCAAGCUACCAGUAAGCUGCAGCCUAUAUGCCACAUACUUGUUAUUUCUAACCAUAAUAAACAUCCAGUUUGAGAAGCCAGUAGCAGGAGAGCCGCCUGUAUCCUCAAAAAAAACAAAAAAACAAGGCGAAUGCGAGGCGGGUCGAGAUCCUCGCAGAGAGUGUUUGAGGUGAGGUGUUGGACAGCGUGCGUCAACCAGAAUGCCGUCAUUACAGGGGAAGGGAAGGAAUGAGCUCAUGGACAUUAACGGGCUGCGGGUUCGAGUGGGGGGGGAGCGAGAAACCGAUGGAAAAGAUGAAAAGGCAGAGAAAAUAACACACCAGAUGAAAAGAGAUGGCGGUAUGAGGGUUUAAGGUUAAAGGAGGAUAGGAGGUAAAGGGGGCAGUUGGCGUGUCUUUGAUGGAUGCCGGGACCUUAAAUUACCUUCUUUCUUGACAACAUCUUGUUGUGACCGUGUGGAGACCGGCCUAGGCUUUAAAAAGCACAACUCGUAAAACAGAAAGGAAAUUAAGGAGACAUGCAACUAGGAUCUAAAACGGGCCGCCCUGGGUACAUUUUUAUGUCGACAUUUUGGUUUUCUGUUAACUGAGCGAUUUUAAAAAACGGCCCUAAGACAAUGUAAAUGUACACUUUAGUCUAUUGUAGAGUCAAAAAAGUUGAUUUUGAAAUUUAGCGAGAACAGACAAUGCUAUUCUGUUUUCUUCCCAGUAGCACCCAAACACUGGACCACACUUUGGCCUGGUGAAAACUGGAAAGCGUCCACAUGAGACGCUGCUUUUAGCUCAAAACGAUGCUCACAACUGGGCUGGAAAAAGUUUGUGUUCUAUUUAUGGAAGCUCUGUCUAAACUCCCUCAUCUUCACCACACUAGAUUUGUGACAACAGAGAUGCCCGCUUUAGUGAUCACAUUCCCCAGCUACUGCACCAAAGCGAUAACAGACAGCCAGCCAAAGCUUAUUUAGAGUCUGGAGUUCCCCAAAAGCGUCCCACUGACUCAUACCUUGUACACGGCGAAAUAUUCAAGCUGCUGAAAAGAAGAGCGACUCAAAGGAGGGCGGCAAAACGAGCGGUUCAGCCGGGAUCUGGAGACUGGAAUGGUGUUCAAUAAAUAAAGUUUAUCCUGUCCAGACAAGUGAAAUUCAACCAAAAGGAAUUCACAGCAUUAUGUUGUGCUCCGGGGUGGGAUGGCUGUGUGUGCGUGUCUUUAUUUAUUUUUUUUUUCUUUUAAGGAAUACGCAGGAUCAGACUUUAUGUUUUAACAAUAAAAGCAAAGGUUCUCUACGCAACAUGAAAAUUCCCUAACAAUUUCUUAAGAGAUUUCGCCGUAACUUAGCAGCAGAGGAAACACGCUCCAGUGCUCUUUUUCUCAUUUUGUUUUUCCCCUGUUCACAAGGGGCACAGAUAAAGGGUGCAGGGUAAAUGUCUGUUAAAGGGAGUGCCAUUUGAGUGGCCACUUCCUUCUAACCUAAUUCUCCAUUCUGUCAUUGAAAAGCUAUUUUUAUAAGAGGCCACGGGAAGUCUGGGAGUUGACAAGGACCACGUACAGUGCACACAGGGUUGAGAAAAUGCAGUGACUGACCUGCGAAUGACAAACGUGACAGAGCCAGACUGCUCUCUUUGUGUAUUGGGGGGGUUAAAGAAGAAAGGAGCUGAUGCUUAUAAAGGUGACAGUGAUGCUCGAGUCUUAUUGUGGUAUUUAUUACUGUGCGUGCUUUGAAGUCUUCUUUCCGCCACAGACCGUCCAGCUCUAUCUGUUGGCCAGGGGAAUUCCUGGCAGAGUGAUUUUUUUUAAACUAGAGGACUGAAUCACAUUGCCAGGGAUUUCCAAUGGCUGACACGAAGAAAGCAGCCUCUUCGUUGCACGCGCACCAAUUUGCCAACUCAUACACAGUCACUCAUUUGCAUACACACAUGGAAACGUCUCCUUUCUGUGUCACAAACAGAUGCCUGUCGAAGCCUGGCUGUGCGGCAGCAGGACUUAACCCACAUGUGAACAGUGAGUGUCUGCCAUGUUCACAGUGGUUAAGUUCUGCCGCCACAGGGCUGCAGCCUGCAGGGGACAAGGGAGGGGAGUAAAGGUCAGGGAGGGGCCGCACUGCAUCAAAAACACCGCUCUUCACAUCAACACCAGGCUUCACAUGAGUAUGAUCUCGUCCUAUGACUAUAUCCUCCCAACAAACAUCAGCUUUCUUAUAUAAAAUGUGUUUCUGGCCGCCUGUUCGAUGAUUUACUUAAGAACCUGUGACCUUCUUUGGGACUUGAACCCAACAACAACAACAAAGCAAAAAAGCUCUUUAUCUGUCACACCAUCAACCAUUUUUUUCUGUUAUCUCGUCGCCGCCCUGCUUUCUCAAGUGGUUUACGGAAACUUGAGCAGAAAACUCAGUGCGUCUAUUUUAACUUAACAGAAGCAAUCAAUCCGAUACCAAAAUACAGGGUCAAAAUUAUCAAUGCUGCUACUUUUAACGUAUAAAUGCAGCUUAUGUAGGGGAGUGUGUCAUGACUUAUGAGAUGAAUUACCGCAAUAAUUAAUCAGUACAACAAAUCAGCGUUUCAUGAGGCUGUCUCUAAAGCACUUUGGAUCAGCUUCUGUCCUUUAAAUGUGCUACGUACUGAACAUAAGGAUAGAAGAGUAUCGGUCCAAUUGCGCUAGUAUCCAUCUGAUACCAAUACCAGUAUUGGUAUCGAUACUAUCAAUAUUUGAAUCGAUCCACUGACCGCUACUAGAAAGCAUCACGUUGCCGGUAACGAGGCAAAUCCGUGCUACUCCUCAACAGCCAGAUUGAUCCUUUGACUUUAUUUUUACGAGCUUUCCUGAUCGUUGCUAAAUUGACAACAUGUGUCGGAGGCUGUGUGUGUGUGCACGCGCGUGUGGGAGUACUCAAUGGAUGACUCAGUACAGUGUUACGAGUCGGCACUGUGAUGUGGCUGAGUGGGAUGCAUGGGAACAGGUAUCGCACUCCAUUAUGAGCGAGUGCCUGGCAAAAACAGCUAAUCUGGUGAAUUAGCCGAAAUUGUUCGGUCUCAGUGUGUCAGAGCCUGCUAAAUGUCAGGCGUCUCAUUAGUGUCGAAGGCUGCUCCCGUUCCUGUUGGGCGGGCAAUAUGUCAUCUUGUGUUGUCGGGUGUAUUGCCGGCUGCCAGGCUCUCUCUGGGGUGUGUGUGUUUGUGUUUGUAACCACGUUUAUUUUCACUUCUACCUGUUGAUUUCUGCAUGAGCAUCAGUGUCUGUUUGGCUCGUUGCUGUGUGUCUGCGUGUACCUGUGUGUAUGUCUGUGUUUAUGUGUGUGUGACCACCUCUGUCCGCCCCCUUCCUCCUCCUCACCCCCCCGCUGGGUCGGUCUCCUGUGCCUGCUGUGCUGAUAAUCAGUGUGUGACGUCGGCUGGCUCAGUUCAGCAGGAACAGGGGACUGUUCUCAUUUCCACACUCUCUCUCGCUCACACACACACAAACACACACACUUUAAUGUCAGUUUAAUAACAACAUUAACACCAGACGUCUACAUGCGUGUUUUCUUUAGUUGUGUAGCUCUUUUUCAUGACAUACACAGACCUUUAAAAUCAUAUAACCAUAAAAGCUUAUAAUGUAUUAUAAAUGAUAGAAUUUUUUUUAAACUGUAUUUUUAGGUUUCUUUCUUUGUUUUUUGUACCGUGAUCUAUGAAAAUGGAAAAAUAUAUCAAUUAAUGAAGUCUGUUUAAGUAUAUUUUAAUCUUUUUUUGAAAAAUAAAACUUGUUUUG